UAUAUUUUGGUGUAUGAUGCACAGAAGUUUUUGAUAUUUCAAGAGCAGUUUAAUUCUGCAAAAUAUAA
rnacentral:tRNA from 1 species